rnacentral:rRNA from 1 species
UACGUAGGGGGCAAGCGUUGUCCGGAUUUAUUGGGCGUAAAGAGCUCGUAGGCGGUUUGGUAAGUCAGGUGUGAAAUCUCCACGCUCAACGUGGAGGGGCCACCUGAUACUGCCAUGACUGGAGUCCGGUAGAGGAGUGUGGAAUUCCCGGUGUAGCGGUGAAAUGCGUAGAUAUCGGAAGGAACAUCAGUGGCGAAGGCGACUUCCUGGACCAAUACUGACGCUCAGGUGCGAAAGCGUGGGGAGCAAACAGG